rnacentral:rRNA from 1 species
AUGUACAUUCUUACAACAUAGCGUUAAUGCAUAAGAUCCCAUUAGAACUUCGCAGUUAAGUGCUCUCAGGCUAGAGUAGUACUGGAUGGGUGAACGCCAGGCGAAUCCUAGUGUUUUACAUG